CCCUUAGAUGUUCUGGGCCGCACGCGCGCUACACUGAUGCAUUCAACGAGUCUAAAACCUGCUCUGAUAGGGGUGGGUAAUCUUUUGAAUGUGCAUUGUGAUUGGGAUAGAUGAUUGCAAUUUUUCAUCUUCAACGAGGAAUGCCUAGUAAACGCAAGUCAUCAGCUUGCAUUGAUUACGUCCCUGCCCUUUGUACACACCGCCCGUCGCUCCUACCGAUUGAAUGAUCCGAUGAAUAUCAUGGAUUGAGGAUGCAAGUAGGUUAGCCUAUCUUCAUCUUCGAGAAGUGAAGUAAAUCUUAUCAUUUAGAGGAAGGAGAAGUCGUAACA
rnacentral:rRNA from 1 species